AGGAUCUGACCUUAGUACGAGAGGACCGGGUUGGACAAACCGCUGGUGUAUCUGUUGUGCCGCCAGGUGCAGUGCAGAGUAGCUACGUUUGGAAGAGAUAAGCGCUGAAAGCAUCUAAGCGCGAAACUCCCCUCAAGAUGAGGCUUCUUUAUAAGGGUCGUUGUAGAUGACGACGUUGAUAGGCUGCAGGUGUAAAGGC
rnacentral:rRNA from 1 species